rnacentral:rRNA from 1 species
AUGGCUGAUACUACUGGAAGAAUUUCUCCUUGGGUAGUACGUACUGUAGCUGGUAUUCCUAUGAUCGUUUUAGUAGGUGUUUUCUUUUAUGUUUCAUAUUCUAGAUAGGGUUCGUCACUAUAG